AACGAACGCUGGCGGCAGGCCUAACACAUGCCAGUCGAGCGCCCCGCAAGGGGAGCGGCGGACGGGUGAGUACCGCGUGGGAAUAUGCCCUUUGCUACGGAAUAGUCUCGGGAAACUGGGGGUAAUACCGUAUACGCCCUUUGGGGGAAAGAUUUAUCGGCGAAGGAUUAGCCCGCGUUGGAUUAGGUAGUUGGUGGGGUAAUGGCCUACCAAGCCGACGAUCCAUAGCUGGUUUGAGAGGAUGAUCAGCCACACUGGGACUGAGACACGGCCCAGACUCCUACGGGAGGCAGCAGUGGGGAAUCUUAGACAAUGGGGGCAACCCUGAUCGAGCCAUGCCGCGUGAGUGAUGAAGGCCUUAGGGUUGUAAAGCUCUUUCAGCUGGGAAGAUAAUGACGGUACCAGCAGAAGAAGCCCCGGCUAACUCCGUG
rnacentral:rRNA from 1 species